GGGAGUCCGGGCUCCCUCUGCGCAUGUGCAGCCGUAGCCCCGCCUCCUCCCUCGUCUUCUCCAGAGUCCGCGGUUACUAGCUUCAGAGUGGAGACAGAAGAGCCCAGAAAGAGCAGGUCCUAGAUUUGCAAGGUCAGAAGCUGUUCUGAUCCCCUUGCCCAGAAUGAGCCAGACUUGGUGAUGAUGCCACCUUCAGGAGCCGCCACACCGUGUGACAGUGGAGGGUUUGUUCGUCCCUGAGAAGAGCAGAGGCUGCGCUGCUGUCAGACGUGUCCAUCACCACAUGUGACAUUAAUGACAUCAUCCUGACCUCGCAGGAUCCCAGAAUAAUGAUGCUUGAAGGAUUUUCCAAAGUCAUCUACUUGCAACUCUCUUGAAAACUUUGAAGACAUUGGGCCUGAAAGUUUCAGUGACUUGUCCAGGGAAACCCGAUUUGUGACAGAGUCAGAAGGAAAACUGCAGUUCCCUCUCUCAUAAAUAAGUCACCAAAAGUAUCUUAUCAAAGGGGCCUUCUGAGGAAUACAUCCCUGCUGAAACGAACAAUUAAAAAAGUUCCUGCCUUCAGGCAUCCCAUCUCUUUUCUGUGAAUUGUCUGUACCAGGAGCAUGGCUUGCCGAGCAGUGCCAUGUCCGCACCCGGAAUCUGAACUGGGAAACCUCAGACCACCGAAGUGGAACAUGCGCGCUUAACCGCUGCGCCACUGGGCCGGCCCCCGUGCGUUAUUAUUAAAUCAAUCAAGAAAAGUUUAUAUUCAUUCAUUAAAAAACUGCAGAUGAUCAUUUCAGAGUCACACAAAGACAGGUGGUGCCGCCUGUCUGUCAUCCUCCUCAUGCCUUUUCGAGGCACAGAUGGCCCUAUGUCUAGGGGAGGAUGAUCCCCAGCUGAGGUGCUGAGAUGUGGGGAGGUGACUCUAGGAGCUGUGGCAGGUCAAAUCUCAGGACCCCUGUCUUCUUUCUGUCCCCUUAGCUGAGCCACAGUUCUCUACACUCGCCCAGGAGCCACAGAAAGUGAACGUCCCUCAGGUAUCAGUGUCAUUCAAGGAUGUGACUGCGGAAUUCCCCAGGAGGAGUGGCAGCAGGUGGAGUCUGCACAGAGGACCCUGUACAGAGACGUGGUGAUGCUGGAGAACUACAGUUGCCUUGUCUGGAGUUGCCAAGGUCAACAAUGACUUCCUUACAGCUAAACCUAAUACACAUCUUUCCAUCUUUGUCUCACUUGACCUUACAGCGGCUGUGGAUGAUGAUAAUGUCCUCUUGGAGACACUCUCUUUGCUAAACUUUGAGAACUCAGUAGUCUUCUGGUUUUUCUCCCGUGCAUAUUCAAUUGUAGUACAUUGUUUUAGAUUUUACAAAGGUGCCCAAAACUCAGCACUCCUCAACUAAACUUGCAGUCUUUCUCUGCAGAUACUUUUUCUCCUAUGUCCUCCUUCAAAAUGAAUGCCUCCAAUUUGCAUAGAUGCUAAAGCUAAAGACUCAAGCAACAUCUUUGAAUCUUCCCUCUCCCUUAGUAUCCAAUGUCUCAUCCCACCAUCAGCCAGUCAGUCAGUGCUGAUUAUGACAGUCUCUAAAUAGCUCUCAAAUAGUUUCACUUUUCUGCAUCCUUUCUGAAACCACCCUAGUCCUAAUAACCAACCAAAUAACUGAAUUAUCUUAAUGACCUUAUGCUUCUGAGCCUUGAUAUCUUGGUUUGUAAAAUGGGGCAAUUAGAAUGAACACCAAGUAUCUUCUUUCUCUAUAUUCUGUGAUUAUAAGAAUUUAAAGCUAAGGAGAGGCUCAGGGCAAAAUCAAUUCUAGUGCUUUGGGAGAUGAUCUCACUUUCUCCAUUUAUUUAUUUAUUCAUGCAUUUAUUUAUCCUUCCUUCCUUAAUCCCUUCCUCCCCCCCCCUCCUUCUGGGAGCAUGCAAACUUAACUACUCAGCCCUGGGGCCAGCCCUGCACUUUCUCUAUUUAAAUUAACUCUUGGGGUGACUCAGAUUGUGCCUCAUAUCCUCCCAUAGCACUGCUUUGUAGGACAGUCUCAGGGUCUUCAUGACAAUUUAUAAUGAGGCCCUUUUUCUUAAAUAGGAAUCUGCUUUAUGCCACGUUUUAAACUCUAGAAAAUAUUUUAAAAUCAGAUUCUAAUGUUGGUAACAAUUUUACCUUGCUUUGUUAAUUUGUCUGCAAGCUCCUACUGAAAAUGUCACAUGAAACAAAAAGGUCCUAUGUAAAAAUUUAGUCCAUCUUUGUUAACUCCCUCUUGAGAGUAUAUUAAAAAACCUGGAUAACAGGAGAAUGUUGAUGAAGAUUGGGGGGAGGGGCAGUGAUGAAGGAGUUUGGCUGAUUUUCAGCAGAAGUAAGGUGAGAAUAAAAGCAUUAUAAAAGAAGAGUAAAGGAUUUAGGUCAGGGCUUUCUAUGAAAAAAAAUUAAAAACCAUAAGCAGAUGGAAAAAGUUGUGAUAUGAUAUGGCAGAUUCCACUAAUCAGUUUAAUAGACAGCCAUUUUAAUGGCAGAGAGAGUAGAAUGCAAAGUGAGAAAUUGGAAAAUGUCAAGGAGGCAAGAGCCAGAAAAGUCAGGGGGGUCCCUUCCUGUCCUGAGGAUUCUUUUGGUUCUGAAGUGCUUUAGCCCAGCUGAGUGAAGACCUGGGGAGGAUAUCAUAUAUGCUCUAAAAGGGGCAUCCAUCAGCUGCAGGAACAUGUGCCGUCUCUCCCCAAAGCUCAUUAGCAGAUUGGUCAUUACUCUCAUUAAGAAUUAAUUUUCUAAUUCCAGGGAUGGAACUCUCCUCUGCUUGAGUCAGGUUUCACGCAAAAACAGACGCACUUGGUGUGGAUAAAACACAAGUGAUGGUUACUGCUGCCUCCCAUCUUCCCAGGACCCAGUGGGAAGGAAAAGGGAGGUUCUCUAGCAAAAAGCAGAGCUAAGGGUGGAGUUUUCCAGCUCUCCAGGCUGGGUGUAGGUCCCACGAAUGAGGGAGAAGUGCGAUGCCAUCUUGCUGGCAGCCUGAGACCUUGAGAAAACUAGGUCCUUCUGAUCUGGUUAGGGAAGACACAGUACUUCCAACAGCCACUGCCACAGGGCAACAGCAGCAUCACAGAUGAGAUGAGGAUCCUGUUACCUCAGGACCUCCCAAGGAGAGAGUUUGGGCUCCUACCAUUUCUUGGGAUAACUUGUUCCUGGCCCUUUGGAAAAUGCCCAGACAUCCCAAGGCUAGACUUCUAAGGAAAAGUAACUUGCCAUUCCCCUUAAAAUAUGUAACUAAAAGCUAUCUACACUUUUAUAUUUUAAAUAUAUUGUUGGGGCUUCAUUUCAAAUUGGUAUACUGUAAAACUGUUUCAGAUAGCUUUAAAUCCAAGGCAGUGGCUUUCAAACUCCUUUGACAGCAACUUACAAAAAAAAAAAUGAAAUAAUUUUUAUAUAAACCACUAUACAGACACACACACACAAAACUAAUACAAAAGUUUUAUGAAACUUUACUUCCCCUUAUUACAUGUGAUACCCUCUAAUAUUAUCUACUCCAUUUUGUUUCACUGUUUAUUAAGUGCUUGUCAUAAUCUAAUCAUAUAGGUCAGGACGUGCAGUUUGAAAAACACUCUUCUGAAAUUAUGGAUUCCACGUACUCUAGCUGGUAGUCUCUUGUCCAGAUUUUUAAAAGGCUCAUCAAAAAGCAGGAUUUGCUAAAGGAACUUCAGUCUCCAUUACAGCACUGUCUUUGGGAUUCCUACCAUAAGUUUCCAGAAGAAUAAGCAGCUUUUCCUUUGCAGAAUUGUGAUGUAAGUUCAAGAGCAAGUGCACAGGACGUAAAAUAAGAAUAGAGUUGAAAAAGGAGGAACAUCUCCAAAUGCAAUGUGUGUUCCUCUGGAAAACAUAAAGCAGCCUAGAGUGAGGUGAGGGAGACAAAACAGAAAAAAAAAACUAACAGAGAAAAGAUCAAGCUUGCAGCAUCAUAUCUCCAGGCUUUGCAAGGUGCACUUGUACUUUCAACCCCAUGAGACAGAGUGAUGUUCAGCAUGACUCCACUAAUCAUGUGGCCUUGAGUAUCUCAGCAGACAUCAGUUAAGUCAUUUAAAAGGAUAACUGCAACUUAAAUUAGUUCAUCCUAUUUAUGCAAAAAUGGUAAAUUCAAAUAAGCAAGGUAAUUUGCUUCUAUGUAUUUCAAUUUUAAAAUUUUUUUAAUCACUUGUCAUCUCAAAUCAAAGCAAAUGGGUAAUAUUAUCAAUUAUAUCUUAAAUACGUAAACAUAUGAACUGAUUUAAAACUCUUAUUUGAUAUGCACUUGUUAACAUUUGCACUAGAGUAGGGAACCACAUUCAAGACUUAAAACUUAAAACAGGGUCAUGUCCUUGAAAACCAAAGAACGUCGUCAGAAAAGCCCCCUUGUGAGAAUCUAGCAACAGAGUGAGUCCCUAAAAUCUGUUAAGCUAUUCCACAGGGAAAGUACGGUAGAUCACACUAGUAAAGGCAAAACUGUGGAAGCUUAUGAAAUAUUUAUCAAGGGAAAUGUUUGAUAAAUAAUAAAAAUACUCAGUUUUAGGAAGGAGUAUGAUGAGCUUCAACAUGGUUGCACUUAUGAGCACAGAACUUUCAUAGGAAAGAAAGAAGUAGAAAUUUAUUGAGUAUGUUUUGUCAGGCAUCACUAAAUCUUUCAAAUACAUUAUAGCAUUGGAAACUGGGAAUCAGAGAUGUUAAGUAACUUGUCCUAGGUCACACAGUGAUAAAUGACAGAGCUAGAAUUUAAACUUGAUCUUCUAAUUACACAUCAAUUUUUUUUCACGUUGAUAAUCAUUUUAUCCUGAAGCAGUACUCCAGAUAUGAUAAUGCUUAAAAUAUUUGCUUAAGCAUUUCCUAGGAUUUCUGAUCAAGGUGAAUUCAGAUUUCAGUUUCAAGGCUAAUGAAUGAUAAAGUGAUCUUUAAAAUAAAGAAAAUAGAUUAUAAAUAUGCAUGCAUUCUGAGUGGCAUAUGAAUCUCUCAAACAUUUGAUGAAGUGUUCUUCAUGUCUCAUGUAAGGAUGAAAGAAGUUAUCUAUUGUUGUGUAACAAACCACACCAAAGUAUAGUAGCUUAAAACAGGAACUUUUUAUUGUCUCUUAUUGUUCUGUGGGUUGGCUGUGGUUGGCCUGACAGUUCUCUCCUGGGGUCUCUUAGGAAGUGCAGUCAGCUGUCAGCUGGGACUGCGAUCAUCUAUAGGCUCAACUGGGCUGGACUUCAAGAUGGUUCACUUCUAGGAUGGCAGGGGAUGCUGGCUUUCUUACUUGGGGCUGCCAACUUGAGGGCCUACAUGUGGCCUCUUUAUGUGACUUGGGCUUCUCUCAAAGUGAUGGCUGGGUUCCAAAAGAAAGCAUCCCAGAAGAAAUGUUCCAAAAGACCUAGGCUUCUUAUGGCUUAGCUUCAAAAGUCCCAGAAACUCUCUUCCACAGCACUCUGUUGGUUGAGCCAGUCACUGAGGCCUAGGCAGAGGGACGUAGACUCUGCCUUUUGAUAUGAGAAGCAGCAGGCAAUAAGGGAGGGAGGGAGACUGCCUAUCUCACCUUAGUCUUUAGCCUCCCAUCCUGGCAUCUCUACUUUACGCAACUGAGUUAGAAGGGGAAAUAUAUGCUACAACUACAAUAACACAAAUUAUUGUGUGGUAUUUUCCUAUUUUUUUGGCACUGUCUCUUUCUCUGGAAGCACAGCCCUUCUUAAAUGAAUGAAUAAAUGAAAGUCUCUGGUCCUCCCCUUCCCAUUCUACUCUUUUGUUCCCUCGUUGCCUCUCUUCUGUUUUCUAUCCUUCUUUCUAACUGAAGAUAAAGGGUGUAAAAACAUUUUUUUUUAAAAGAAGCAACGUACUCUAAUCAGUUAAUUAAACUUAUGGUUAAUUUCUACCCAAAUCUACCAUUUGAUAUCUGCCUGACUGAUUCAAUCAUCAUUCUAUAUAGGAAGGUAAUAAGAUAAUUUCUUUAAAUGCAGGCAAAGGAACGAGAGGGAAAAACAGGAAAGAAAAAGUAGGUUACCAAAGGAGGAAGGAAAAUAUAAAUGGGAAGUGAAACAAAUCAGGAAGCUUGAAUGAUAUUAAACCCAAAAGGCUGAAAAAACAAAAGGAAAGAAGCCAGAUUCUCCCCUUAUAAUACUGUGUCCAUCCUGCCUUCCUUUCCAGUCCAUUGCCACCCGUCGCUAGCCGAGUCUAACCUUGUUUCUUAAUGCCUGAAUUAUUGCUGUGUCAUCUUACCUACUCUCCCUGCCUACGGUCUUUAUCCUCUUAGAAACCAUCAAAAGCACCGUUUUCCUCAUCGUGCUCCCAAUUUAAACAAAAAGAAAAAAAAGAAACACUAAAUGACUGCUGAAGAAUGAAAUCCAAUAUAAGCAUUUGAAUGAUUUUCAUAAUCUGACCUAACCUUCCUUGCCAUUGUUUCUCAAGUCUUCCUUACAUGAAACUAUUGACUCAACCAGGACGCUCUACUCACUGAAUCCAAAUACACAGAAAAAUGAGCCUAGAUCCCACUGUUUAUUACAUCAUGAAAAAUAUCAAACCUGAAACAAGGAAAAAUAAUUAAUAAACAGAAAAAAUCUGUUUCACAAAGCAGUGUGGCAACAUUGUAAGCUUAUAAUUACAGCACUUGUGGUCCAGAUCACUUCUUAGGCAUACAGCCUUCUUUUUGUCUUCUGUCCUUUGCUCUAACAGAUCCUAUCACCAGGAGUUUUCCCUGCUGCUGUCUGCCUUAGCAAAUCCUGUCUCACCGGAACCCACAAGAAGUCCUCCUCUUCAUGGAAACUGAUGAUCCUUCCUCUUGCCCAUGAACCCACCUGGAGGAGUCAAGCCCAGCAUGGAUGCCAGUGAGUUGGGUCAAAGCCAGGGGAAGGUCCUGGGAUCAAGAACUGGCUGAGUAGAGUGAAAAUUUCUGAUCAGCCAGAAGUAGAAAGAGCCAGAAGAUAAACCAAACCCAUUUUCCAAGGAGUGCCAAAGGUGAAAAGCAGGAAAGCCAAAAUACUCAUCAAGACCAAAGGGGGAGCACAGAGCCAGAAGCUGGGAGGAGAAAGGGAGUCAAGAAAGUCAAUGCCAGACUCUCUCCUGGCUUUGAUGAAGCAAGCUUCCAUGUUGGAGAGGCCCACAGGACAAGGAACUGAGGGUUGCCUCCAUCCUACUCAGCCCACAGCCACCAGGAAUUGAGGAUCUCAGUCCAACAGGCCUUGAGGAGCUGCAUCCUGCCAACAGCUCUAUAAUUGAGCACAGAAGUAUGUCCUUCCCCACUUGAGCGUUCAGAUGAGACCCCAGCCCCAGCUGAUAUCUUAGUUGCAGCCUUGUGAGAGACCCUGGAGCAGGGAAUCCAGGUAGGCCUUGCCUAGACUCCUGACCCGGAAAAACUGUGAGUUAAUAAAUAUGUUUUUUUUAAGCCAAGAAAUUUUGGGGUAUCCAUUACAUAGCAAUAGAUAACACACCCCUAAAUUACUGUAACCUUGCUGUAAGAUAUAGCAUGGCUGGGAAGGCGGGCACCAAAUAGGAGGAGACCCUCUCUGACAGUCUCCCUGGAGAAACUGUCUUCAUGCUCAAAGACUAUCCCACAUCCUCUUAUGCUGCAGUGAUAGUAUUCUGCUCCACUAAGCCCGAUCAGUCUCCAGGAAGCAAGGCCUAGGUAGUGUUGGGUGGAGUGCAUGGCCAGGAUGGGGUCAUGAAGAAUGAUGAUGAGGUCAUUCUUCCCCUUCUCAUUUUUUUCUUCCUUUCACACUCACUCCACCAUUACAUUUUCUUUACUCUCUGUUUCUUUCCCUCCCAUAUCCUGAGUGGCUGCCCGAUGACCGUUCCUUCAGUGAUGGCUCGGUGAUCUCUUGGUCUUGUAAUGCUGCUGUCAAGCUAGGCAGCCUGAAGAGAUUUACCUGAGGGGCGGCUCUUCCCAAUCUUCAGCAUCCUUCACAAGCAAGGAGACCUCUUUGUAGAUCUCAAAAUAUUCCUUCUAGACAGAUUAACACCCUACGUAUAACAGACUCUUCAGCUGGAUCCACCCAGUUCCUAGACCCUGCCCUGGCCACUCCAGUGUCCACAAUCACAAAACCCAUCCAUACACAGCCCCCCAUUGACUGCCCACCUGUGAGAGUCUCUGGAGUCAGCAACUUUUUCUAAAUGAAAAUAAGCCACUGUUUUCUGGAAAAUAUUCGUAUCUCUGAUCCUUUUCAGAGCUGCAAGCUCUGUUCUCCCUACUGUUCUGGGAAUGGUAGAGGAAGGGGAAAGGUGAACUGCUCCCCAUUUUCAUUAGGGUCAGGUGAGGGGUGGGGACAUGGCCCACACUCCAGACUUCCUGAGGGAGAGAAGGGCUCUGAGGAGCAGGUGACAUUUAUUCCUCACCAAGAGAUCCAAGAGCAACAUUUCCCCCUACCACUCACGCCAGGGCCUAAACACCUCCACACUUCCAAUUCCAAAACUUUCUGAAGCCACAAGGGGGAAUUCUGGCUGUGUUAUUCCAGAGGAAUGCAUCCCACCCUGCAGCUGUGUAUAGUUCAGGAUAGUGAGGGAGCAGAUGGAAAGACAGGUUGAGCCAAGUUCUGGACUUGAAGGGUUUUGCCCACUUUGAAAAUGACUGAAGUUUUUAGAGUAAACUUUCUGUACUUUUUAUGAAAGAAUAAAGUGUUUUAAAUAGAGGACAUCUGAGCCGGGUCAAAUAAAGGACCCAGGAUAAAACUGAGAUGGCCACUGUCAGGUCCCCUACAAGGGACUUGUCAUCUUUUAGAAACCAAAAGAGGAAAUCAGAGCUGACAUCCCUCCUUCCUUUCCCUGAGCAUAAGCCUGAGAGUACCCCAAACCUACAUGCCCAAUGCACUACACAGAGAACACCCCUCUCUGUUAGCAGAAAAAUUUGAGGAGGAUCAGUUUUCUUGGUUGUGGCUAAUCAUUGUUCUCAUCAGAGGAUGUGUUCUCAUGAAAACUGCGAUGCUUUCUCAAGAAGGACUGAUUGAUUUCUUUGGGGACAUAUUUCCUCCCUGGAAGUAUUGGAGAAGCAUUUUCUGUUUGAAUAGAAGAGUCAAAUCCCUGAACCCAGUACCUUCCUCAGGGGUGAGGGUGGCUGGAGGGACCUGGCAUAGCUGACAUGCAGGUGGGGCUCGGAUGGGGCACAGACUCCCUGGAGGGCAGGGAAGGGGGUUGACUCUGGCAUAAACACUGAUCCUUGAAGGCUACAACUUUCCAGGGAUGUCCGAUCCUAUCUCUGUUCUGGCUAACACUUAUAAACAACUCUGGUCAGCAGUGCCAGGGUCUUGGCUGCAAGACAUGGUCCUUGCCCAUUCCCCUGGCUGGGAGUCAGAGAGAGCUCCGUAGUUGGCGGGAUGUCCCUUGUCAGGCUCUACUGGGCCUGCAGUUUGUCCUUCUGCUGACUUAACUCCAUCGCCUCAGGUUUGUACCCACAUGCCAGUUUCUCUUCUAGUAUCUUCCCGAUGGUUGCCAUGAGCUCAUGAGCUUCAGGAGGCCAACAACUCACAAAGAGAGCUGUACUUUCAGUGGGGCGUUCAUGUUGUGCAAAGCUUGACAUGAACUUGGGUUUUUGCUGGGGACUUUGCUGCCCUAUGAUUUUUCCCUUGGAAUUCAUCCAUUGAAAAAAAAAUUGCCUCCUCUUUUUUCUGAAGUAACUCUCAGGAAGAAACUGUUCAUUCUGUGACAGAGAUGGGGAAGUGCCCUCUAAUUCUCUGUCCUCGAUAGAGUGGCUCUUCUUUCUAGCUUUAGAUGUCCCUACUCCUGAGAGUCCUCACUUCCACAUUCUGCUUUGGAGCUUUCAGAGGCCUCACUCUGUUUGCAGCUGAUGGGAAAUUCUUGUCUUGGAACUUCCAUGACACACACUUAGAAACCCAGGGCUCCUGCUGCUGCUCCAUGCUGAUCCCGGUGUUCUCCAAAUGGAUGUGCCCCACCUGGAAAACUCCCAUGUCCCCACUGGAAAUGCUCUGGGACUGAGUCAGGGAGGACUUAGAAAGCAAGCUAUCUGAAAUAGAGGACAUGUCUUGAGCCUGGCUAUGCUUCUCACUUUCCAGUUGAAACUUUAACUCACUUAGGAGCUGUAUUUUAAGGUAUGAUCAUUUAGAAUCUUGGGGAACUGAUAUUUUUGGUGAGGGACAUUCAGUGUGAUAACAUGGGAAACAACAUAUUCUUAACAUGAGUCUGCCAGCAACUGGAUUCUGAAAUUGACAGGCUUGAAUGGUCAGGACAUCUGAUUGUUGGGACAAGCGGACAACUUACCAGGGCUAUCUGGAGGUGACUUCUCUGGAACAGGCCUCAAUAGGAUGGAAAUCAAUUUAGAUUGAGUUACAGGUAAUGGGCAGUGUGGUGGUUGUGAAACAGGAUUGGUGGUGUGUGAUGACAGGCCAAUCAGUCAGUGGGAUUCCUUGUCUGGGACAAAUCUGGUAAAGGGUUGAUAUCUCGGGAAAGGGUGUGAUCAAGAGAAAAGAUGGAGUACAGAGAUAAAGUGGCCUUUAAUUGGAGAACAGGAUCCACUGUCUAAGUGUCAUGUGGUUGGAGAGGAGGAAAGGCAGGGGCUGGGCUGGGAAAUAGUCUGGGAAUUUGGAAUCUAAGGGAGGAAAAGGCUCUGGUGGCAUAGAGAGACCUGAUGGUGAGGGUGAAAGAAAGUCAGCUAAGGGUGUCAUUAGGUUAGGUUAGAGAAUGCAGGUGGGUGAGGAAGGCUCAGGUAGAGGGGCUAGUAUUAGGUCUCCUAGAGGGACUGCUGAGAAGGCAGAGGACGGAGUGAACAACGACUCAGUCACAGAAGCUGUGGAAGCCAAAGGGGACAUAGAGGGAGGAGUAUCUUCCAGGGCCUCCAGGCACUUCAGCCAAUUGACUCAUCAGUUGCAGUAUUACGCAACUCACGGAAUGAGUCUGGACAUAACAGUUGAUGAAGGCAGAAGAUAUCAUGAUGCUGGCCCAGGGGACUGCAGGAGACAGGAGGUACAAAGCUGCAGCCAGAACCAGAACAAAUGUAUGGGACCUGGCAGGUCUGGCAGAGGUGGGGCGCCCAGUGUAUACUGUCCUUUCACACUUCCUCACUUCCUUGAUCUCGCAAUGUAACUUGCUUCCCUCUACCCAAGGCUUUCACAUUCUGACUCAGGAUUUUCCCUCCCAUGGCAAUCCCAGGCUUCACUGAGGUCCUAGAAAUUCAUAGACUUUACUAAAAAGAGGGAUGUGGGAAAGAAGGGUAAUGUUUAGUCACCUUUGCAGAAGAGAAAGCACCUUCCUUGCCUCCUCUGCUUUGCUCUGGCAAUCUCUCCAACCUGGGAAACCAGGAGGAGGAUGAAGAUAGAAGCAAAGAUCUCUUUUAGGAGGCAGAGUAGAAUGUCCUUUAUGGUACCCUUGGUAGAUUGGACUUGGAGAUCCCCAAGAAUUAGGAUUCAAGAUCACAUAGUUAAUGAUAAUAACAAAGCUCACAUAUGUAUGUUGCUUUACUGUUCACAAAGGGUUUUCAUGUAUGUGUAUGUAUGUGUGUGUGUAUAUAUAAUGCCAAGAGGUGCUCAAAACCACCCUGUGAGGAACAUAGGUCAGUGGUUACCUCAAAGAGGAAUCUGAUCAUCCAGGAAGUCAAAGUACUUUCACAAGGUCAGGAGACAGAAGUUCUGACUCUCGACAUCUCACAAGGCCACCUGUUGGUCAACACCCAUUGCCCAGGUCCAUCACUGCUUCAUGCCCAGGGAUGGGCAGAGCUCGAAUCUGAGAAGUGUUUCUUGUUCUGACUGCUUUCCUUUGAGCCUCUCCUCUGAGGACUGUGUUUCCUGAGAGGGACUGUAUCUAGCAACUGACAUCCUCAGAGAUCAUGGACCUGGGACCUCAUGGAAAGGAUGGGAAGAGUCACCCUUGGAGAGCUCAGGUGGAAUAAGCAGGAUCUUACCUUUCUAUGUUCCACUUUUCCUUCUCCUCUUGGCUCUGCCCUUAUGCUGAGAACAAAAAGAAAAGAAUAGGGUGCUGGGCUCAUUUGUCUCCCUUCUCUUUCUAGGAAACUCAGAUAUCCAUUAUCCAAGAAUAAUAUGACUCUCUAUUUUAAUUAAUAGAAUUUUGUGUUCCUUCCUUUAGUUAAUUUUUAAAGGUGAUAAAAUAUUUUCACUUUUUCUUUCAUU